GCCAGAGCUCCCGCUCCGCCGGCCGGAGCCGCCGCCAGCGCGGGGUCCCGCUGAGGGUCCCGCUGCCGCCCGGGCCCGGUGGAUGCCGCCCGCUGCUGUUCCGGCUCCCUGCUCCGGCUGCCUCUUUCGGCUCCUCUGUGCUUUUCCCGCUGCAAAUCGUCCGGGUGCUUCACCGCCGCGCGGUACUGGCGGGGACCCCCCGACGGUGGGGAUGUGUUUCACGCUCCGCCUUCCCGCAGCCGGCUCCAUCCCGAGCACCGGGAAGCGCACGGGAGGUCCCGGCCGGACGAGGAUGCGGCACCUCGGGGUGAGCCUUUGGAUGGGGGAAAAAGGGAGGGUGACCCCCAAAACCUCGCCUGUCAGUUGAAGUUGUCCCUUUCUAAGCCAGUCCUGGUCUUCCAGCGUUUCUUUGGAGCAUUUGAUUUUAAUUAUCCGCGGAAUUCAGCCUUCUAAUUGCGACUGGGAGGGGGAAAUAAAAACAACUCCCCAAAUUCAAGUUUUAUUUGCUGCUUCCCCUCGGAAAAAUAGAGGGUCACGAUAUAUUAACAGGGGAAAAAAUAAGAAAUUGGGCUUCAGGCGUUCUAGUGUUUAAAAAGUACCAAGAACAUGGUGGUUUUUGUUUAAUUAUUGUGAUGUGUAAUAAAUAAACCGUAUGCUUUGAAUUUAAA